UAAUUCUUUCCUCUGCAACUUGAUCAAACAUUCAAAAUAAAAAAAAUAAGAAGAAAAGAGGGCACCACAUGCAAACAUCAAAUCAAAUGUUUUCAGUGUACAAACUAAACGACUAUUGUAAUCAAUAAAAAAAAUUCGUUUUACGACAGACAUAAUUUUUUUUAUUAUUAUUAAAUAUCCCUUCGUGAACUGAAUUCUUCAUAGAUCAUAACCUAACGCUGCUAAAUCAUAGAAAAAUUACGUGCAUUGUGUGAGAACGUAUUUUUUUGGUUCACGGUGGCUUUGACACGCUAUCUACAUGACAAUUCAUCGCUUGAUGGCAAUAAUACGGCUCCAACUAAGAAGUGUCUGUAUUAAAUAAAUUUCCUGAAUUCAACAACAAACAAUUGAAAUUGUAAAGAUAUCGCCUAUUUUUCGGCCAAACAUAAAAAGCCAACAUCGAAAAUACAAGAUAAUUUUGCGUACCGAAGUAGAAGUACUUCUUUAUUUCGUAUUAGGGACAGGACUUUCCUCAAGGAGGCAUGCAGUAAACAAAUUGGCAUAAGAGAAAAAAAAUUUUAAUUGAGACUCUGUAUCUGCUGAUUAUUGACGAAGCGUAUCAUUACGGACAAGUCAAUUGAGUUUUACCCAAAAAGCCAUUUCAAAAGACAACAAAAGUAUCAAUAACAUACCAGUGUCGAAACAGAAAUAAUACACCAGAAAAAAAUUAUUACCAAGAAUUUUGUAGAAAAAAUAUCACUACGAACUUCCUUAUUCAAUAAAUACCAA